rnacentral:rRNA from 1 species
GAUGAACGCUGGCGGCGUGCCUAAUACAUGCAAGUCGAACGAGGAGGAGCAAUCCUUCGAGUGGCGAACGGGUGAGUAACGCGUUGGUGACCUGCCCCGAAGUGUGGGAUACCAGGCCGAAAGGCCUGCUAAUACCGCAUGGUCAACUGGGAGACUAGACACCUGGUUGUAAAGCCGAAAGGCGCUUUGGGAGGGCCUGCGUCCCAUCAGCUAGUUGGUAAGGUAGUGGCUUACCAAGGCGACGACGGGUAGGGGGCCUGAGAGGGUGAUCCCCCACACUGGCACUGAAACACGGGCCAGACACCUACGGGAGGCAG